ACAAGUCACGUCGGGAGAGACCGGCUUCAUGCCGGCGCCGAAGGAGCAACCGCCCCGGAAACUCUCAGGCAAACGGACCGUGUGACUGAC
rfam:Afipia broomeae ATCC 49717 genomic scaffold supercont1.2, whole genome shotgun sequence.